UAUACUGCAGUAGAGAAAAUUAGUUGCCUUCCUGUAGGGGACUUUGUAUUGCAUGGCAAUAUACUUAAUUCACUUGUUUAUCAAAGGGAUGUUAACUGAAAAUUUACUGACUGAAUAGUGAACAGUACAGACCUUGAUGAGCCUGCAAGGAUGUGUAGGCUGAUCUUGGUCUGCACUAGCUGCAAAGGCACUAUCACUUGCUGCCAGCAGGCUAAAGGAACUGUGAUGACACUGAGGAAAUAUUCUGCAAUCUUCACCAUGGUUACCAUUGAACAGGGAUUCUCACAUAGCAAUUGCUGUACAGUGUAAUGCCAGCAUGUAUGUUUUUCUAAGCAAGCGACAGUGUGUCAAGGCAGAAGCUGUGCAUCUGGACAGGUCUGUCUCAUAGUCUUUGAUAAAUUCUUUGAUCCUUUUGACUGCCAAUCAAGACUACCAACGGUACCAUUGAAGGAUUCUGGUGACAAUAUAUCCGCAAAAUGGAGUCGUUUGGGAGCAACAGAUCUACAUAUCUGGGCCAGCGGUUUGCUAGACGACUGUUGUUCCUGUGUUGAGAGAAGUGGAAUUAAGGAUUUUCAAGAUUCGUCUUUGUACUAGGUCUUCAUCUGCCAGCAAUCGCUGAUAUCAGUUGGUUUUUUUUUUUGCAAUAUACACUGGACAAAACUUCUUUUUCAAGGACUUUCCAAAAUGUAUUUUUUCUUACCAGAAUAGGCAAAAUAUGACAGAAUAGUUUUAGUAAGCCAUUUGAAUUUUUACCAAGUACUGUCCAAUAUCUUUUUCAAUUUUCUUGUUUUCAAUCUAAUUUCUUUUAAGACAUGUUAUAAAGUAAGCACCUAUAAGUUUAUUGGGCAUGAUAAGGCCUUGGUGUAGCUGCUCAUGCAGAACAAGUUCACCUGCACUUUCAUAAUUAUAAAAAUACUCAUGACUAAGGGUUA
rnacentral:lncRNA from 1 species